rnacentral:rRNA from 1 species
GAUGAACGCUAGCGAUAGGCCUAACACAUGCAAGUCGAGGGGCAUCACAUGAAGUAGCAAUACGGAUGGUGGCGACCGGCGCACGGGUGAGUAACACGUAUGCAACCUGCCUUCAACAAGGGGAUAACCCGUUGAAAGACGGACUAAUACCCUAUAACACAGGGGUCCCGCAUGGGAAUAUUUGUUAAAGAUUGAUCGGUUGAAGAUGGGCAUGCGUUCCAUUAGCUGGUUGGUGAGGUAACGGCUUACCAAGGCAACGAUGGAUAGGGGAACUGAGAGGUUUAUCCCCCACACUGGUACUGAGACACGGACCAGACUCCUACGGGAGGCAGCAGUGAGGAAUAUUGGUCAAUGGACGCAAGUCUGAACCAGCCACGUCGCGUGAAGGAAGACGGCCCUACGGGUUGUAAACUUCUUUUGUAAGGGAAUAAAGUGUAGUACGCGUACUAU